rnacentral:rRNA from 1 species
UCCGUAGGUGAACCUGCGGAAGGAUCAUUACCGAGAGCCCCUCCCCGACGCAUGCUUGCAUGCGUCGUCGAAGGGGCUAUUCUCACACCCUUCUUUAUACGUACCUUUUGUUCUUCCUCGGCGGGUUGCCCUGCCGACGGAACACCAUCAUAACCCUUUUUGCAUCUAGCAUUACCUGUUCUGAUACCCUAAAUCGUUACAACUUUCAACAAUGGAUCUCUUGGCUCUGGCAUCGAUGAAGAACGCAGCGAAAUGCGAUAAGUAGUGUGAAUUGCAGAAUUCAGUGAAUCAUCGAAUCUUUGAACGCACAUUGCGCCCCUCGGUAUUCCGUGGGGCAUGCCUGUUCGAGCGUCAUCUACACCUUCAAGCACUGCUUGGUGAUGGGCGUCUGUCCCGCCUCCGCGCGCGGACUCGCCCCAAAUGCAUUGGCAGCGGUCCCGACCGCCUCUCGCGCAGCACAUUUGCGCUUCUCGAGGCGUUGGGGCCUGCGUCCAUCAAGCCCUUCUUAGCACCUUUGACCUCGGAUCAGGUAGGGAUACCCGCUGAACUUAAGCAUAUCAAUAAGCGGAGGA